AAGGGCCGGGUAAGACCGGUGCCAGCCGCCGCGGUAAUACCGGCGGCUCGAGUGGUGGCCGAUAUUAUUGAGUCUAAAGGGUCCGUAGCCGGCUUUGCAAGUCCCCUGGGAAAUCCAGCGGCUUAACCGUUGGGCUUUCAUGGGAUACUACAUUGCUUGGGACUGGGAGAGGUAGGAGGUACUCGGGGGGUAGGGGUGAAAUCCUGCAAUCCCCCGGGGACCACCGGUGGCGAAGGCGUCCUACCAGAACAGGGCGGACGGUGAGGGACGAAAGCUAGGGGCACGAACCGGAUUAGAUACCCGGGUAGUCCUAGCCGUAAACGAUGCCCGCUAGGUGUCACGACGGUCGUGAAUCGUCGUGGUGCCGUAGGGAAGCCGCGAAGCGGGCCACUUGGGAAGUACGACCGCAAGGUUGAAACUUAAAGGAAUUGGCGGGGGAGCACCACAACGGGUGGAGCCUGCGGUUUAAUUGGAUUCAACGCCGGGAAGCUUACCGGGAUCGACAGUUGUAUGAAGGCCAGGCUGAAGACCUUGCCGGACUAGCUGAGAAGAAGUGCAUGGCC
rnacentral:rRNA from 1 species